AUAAAAUAAAUUGGAGCAGAAGCUUCCUCCCGAAAUCGUUUUCUGUGCUCUCUUCUUCUUCUUCUUCUUCUCCAAGUAGAAUCCAAAAUCCAAAAUCCAAGCUUCUUCGAAAUUUCAAAAUACCAUGAAAAAACUCCUAUUUGACCGGAGAAUGGUGAUUUCUCUGCCCGUGUUCUGAUCUUCCUCAAACCACCCUAAAUACCUCAAGAUCGAUUGCUAUAUUCCGUCACUUCACGCAUCGCGUGAUUCGCCGGCGUCGUAGUCAACUGGGCUUUUUGGAUUCGACGGUGAAAUGGUGCUACCGUUGAUGAAAUUGGGUACUCUCGCUCUCAAAACCAUAAGCAAGCCAUUGGCGAGCCAGCUCAAGCACCAAGCCAAGGUUCAUCCCCGGUUCCGACAGUUCAUCGUCAACGUUGCUCAGAGAAACCAUCGGCUCACAACGCAAAUUCAAAGAAGGAUAUAUGGGCAUGCGACUAAUGAGGAGAUUCGUCCAUUGAACGAGGAAAAAGCUGUCCAGGCUGCUGCGGAUCUCAUCGGCGAGCUCUUUGUAUUCGCGGUUGGUGGAGCUGUUGUGGUAUUUGAGGUGCAGAGAAGUGCCCGGUCAGAAGCAAGGAAGGAGGAAGCACGCAAGAAAGAACUCGAGGAAUUGAGGGCAAAAGAUGAAGAGCUGCAGAAAGAAGUGGAACUCCUUAGGACCAAAAUAGAGGAAUUGGAAAAGCUUGCUGAAUCACGGGGACUAAGCGGGAUAUUCCACUUGAAAAAAUCCAACGCAGACAGCGGGAAAUCAGGGGAUGGGAAACCGACAUGAUCAUCUGCCAAUACCCACGAAAAAACCAUCCUCGGAUUGAGGGUAAAAAAAACAUUAAGUCCAAUUCGCGGGUCAGAUGAACCGGUCUGUGACGAGUUUGGCUUGUGACGCGCUGGUUUACCGGAUCCACUCUUUCUUCGGCCUCAUACUUUUCCAAUCCAAUUCUAUAAAAACGAACUGGCUCGUGGGUUAGGCUCGUUUGUCCAUCCCUAUGGUUUAGGGACAAUGCAAAAAACCUUAGGACAUGUUUUUGUCUUCAGAAAUAUGAUUACAAUUCAUUACCUAUGUCCUAUGCAUGUGUAUUGGAAUUGCUAACACUGCUAUUUUUGGU